rnacentral:rRNA from 1 species
ACGCUGGCGGCGUGCUUAACACAUGCAAGUCGAACGAUGAAGCCUAGCUUGCUAGGUGGAUUAGUGGCGAACGGGUGAGUAAUACGUGAGUAACCUACCUUUAACUCUGGGAUAAGCCUGGGAAACUGGGUCUAAUACCGGAUACGACCAAUCUCCGCAUGGGGUGUUGGUGGAAAGCGUUAUGUAGUGGUUAUAGAUGGGCUCACGGCCUAUCAGCUUGUUGGUGAGGUAACGGCUCACCAAGGCGACGACGGGUAGCCGGCCUGAGAGGGUGACCGGCCACACUGGGACUGAGACACGGCCCAGACUCCUACGGGAGGCAGCAGUGGGGAAUAUUGCACAAUGGGCGCAAGCCUGAUGCAGCGACGCCGCGUGAGGGAUGACGGCCUUCGGGUUGUAAACCUCUGUUAGCAGGGAAGAAGAGAGAUUGACGGUACCUGCAGAGAAAGCGCCGGCUAACUACGUGCCAGCAGCCGCGGUAAUACGUAGGGCGCGAGCGUUGUCCGGAAUUAUUGGGCGUAAAGAGCUUGUAGGCGGUUUGUCGCGUCUGCUGUGAAAGGCCGGGGCUUAACCCCGUGUAUUGCAGUGGGUACGGGCAGACUAGAGUGCAGUAGGGGAGACUGGAAUUCCUGGUGUAGCGGUGGAAUGCGCAGAUAUCAGGAGGAACACCGAUGGCGAAGGCAGGUCUCUGGGCUGUAACUGACGCUGAGAAGCGAAAGCAUGGGGAGCGAACAGGAUUAGAUACCCUGGUAGUCCAUGCCGUAAACGUUGUGCACUAGGUGUGGGGGACAUUCCACGUUUUCCGCGCCGUAGCUAACGCAUUAAGUGCCCCGCCUGGGGAGUACGGCCGCAAGGCUAAAACUCAAAGAAAUUGACGGGGGCCCGCACAAGCGGCGGAGCAUGCG